GAUUUUGAAGCUUCAUAUUCAAUCACAUCAUAGGGGAGUAUUACUUUCUUUAUCUUGAUUUUCCUUUUUACACAUUGAGGACAAUGUGUAUGUUAAGUGUGGGGGGAGAAUUGAGAUUAUAUAUAUUGUAUGUGAUUAAAUUAUUAGUUGCAAAUAUUGGACUUGUGUUAAAAUUCAAAAUUUUUCUAAAAUCUUGUCCAAAAUUGCAAACUUGCCCCAAAAAGUUUCAUAUUUUUUCGAUUUUAUCCAAGGGGUAACAAGUUCCAUACCAUUAGUAGUUCAAAUUCCUUCUACAUUUGAGAUAAAUAUAUAUGAUUUGGAAACUUCUUUUCUCAUUUAACUUGGAAAUGACUAUUAUGUGAUUAUAAUUUUGCAUUUGUAGGAAAAUAUAUCUUGUGAAGUGGAGAAAAUUAUGCCUAUAUUUUUUUUGCAUAUUUGAUGAAAUUUUCUUCUCUUUAUUGGAUUUUAUAAGUUAAGUGAUAAAUAUGGUCAAUAAGUGCAAUACUCUUCUCAUGAUUAUUUUUUUAGAAACUUAUUAUUCUCUUUGCUAUAAAAAAAAAAGAAAAAAAAAUGAUGAAAAAUGAAAAAAAAAAGAAAAAAGA
rnacentral:lncRNA from 1 species